rnacentral:rRNA from 1 species
UACGAAGGGGGCUAGCGUUGUUCGGAAUUACUGGGCGUAAAGCGCACGUAGGCGGAUCGAUCAGUCAGGGGUGAAAUCCCAGGGCUCAACCCUGGAACUGCCUUUGAUACUGUCGAUCUGGAGUAUGGAAGAGGUGAGUGGAAUUCCGAGUGUAGAGGUGAAAUUCGUAGAUAUUCGGAGGAACACCAGUGGCGAAGGCGGCUCACUGGUCCAUUACUGACGCUGAGGUGCGAAAGCGUGGGGAGCAAAC